rnacentral:rRNA from 1 species
UGGAGAGUUUGAUCCUGGCUCAGGACGAACGCUGGCGGCGUGCUUAACACAUGCAAGUCGAGCGGUAAGGCCCUUCGGGGUACACGAGCGGCGAACGGGUGAGUAACACGUGGGUGAUCUGCCUCGUACUCUGGGAUAAGCCUGGGAAACUGGGUCUAAUACCGGAUAUGACCACGAAUCGCAUGGUUUGUGGUGGAAAGAUUUAUCGGUGCGAGAUGGGCCCGCGGCCUAUCAGCUUGUUGGUGGGGUAAUGGCCUACCAAGGCGACGACGGGUAGCCGGCCUGAGAGGGCGACCGGCCACACUGGGACUGAGACACGGCCCAGACUCCUACGGGAGGCAGCAGUGGGGAAUAUUGCACAAUGGGCGGAAGCCUGAUGCAGCGACGCCGCGUGCGGGAUGACGGCCUUCGGGUUGUAAACCGCUUUCGACAGGGACGAAGCGUGAGUGACGGUACCUGUAGAAGAAGCACCGGCCAACUACGUGCCAGCAGCCGCGGUAA